AGACGCAAUAUCUCUGCGACUGAAGAUGCUGUCAGGCUUGCUGACUAUUCCAGCAACUUUUGUUUUUGCUCCUGAUACACACCAUCCAAAAUUCUUCAGGAGGAGUUCGAUAUAGUUCUGAGGGCCAAAGAGAUAAAAUGAUGUGGGGUCCCUGAGCUGGAUGAUCAGCCGUGAUUAAUUUGAAGAUCAGAACAGGCAAGAAAGGAUGAGUGGAUGAUUCUUACUCCAAUUUUUGAAGUUUCCACCAUUACCAGAGAAAUGGAAAGGAGUGACGAGGAUAAAGUGAGAGCCAGGAAUAACAGCACAAUGUAUAAAUCACUGCGAAUGGAGAAAUGGGAUAAAGACCUGGGAUGGAUUCAGAGAAUGAGUACAGAACAGAAAGGUGCUGUUCUGCACCAUAUCUGCCACAGUAAUGAGGCACACCAAGGUCCAUCAACUAUCUACAAUCUGCGUUUACAAGGCUAUGGGAUGGUUAUGGAGGAACAAGUUGAGAUGCAAAACAGGGCAGGAGAUCAUCCAUCACCGCCCUCACCCUCAACCCUUACAGAUUACAGAGGUUCAUCUUGGUCUGUCCCACUCUUUGGCGGGACUGGGUCCAGCUUCACGAAGCUGCCAGCUGAUAGUCAGCUGUGUCAACUUGGCCGGGUUGGAAUGUUUCAAGGAGCAGAUCAUGGGCGAUAUCGGAGCAGGCACCUUCUCUGCUCCUCUUCAUCCUCCUGUUGUGGCUCUUUUACUGGAGCUCUGUUGGUGACCGUUUCUAAACUCUUAUCUCCACAUCCUCGUAUUGUACGUGUAGGUGGCUAUGGUGAGCCCUCGAAUUUUUAAAAGGUCAAUGUCUUAUCAGUGUUACUUAUGCAUUUGUUGUAACAUUUUUUAAAAUUCAUAGAGAACCGCUAAAUCCAUUUUGCCCCUCCAGUUGUUUUUACAUAAAACUCCAUUCUUGGAUGUGAACAAAUUUAAGUAGUGUCAAACAGGAAAUAUUGCCAAACCGCAGCAGUCUGUUGAGCAAGUAGGAGUGGACCAUGUGAACCACGAGAAUCCCUAUGCUUUCUUUCUGAGAAUUCUCACGCUGAGAUGAGGAAUGAACACAGAUAGUUGUAGAAGUCAAGAAACACAAUUGACAUUUGUGUUGCAUUAUCACUAUAAUGAAAUGUUCACUAGAAUUUCAGAGAUAUUAUAUUACAAGAUUUAUCACAAAGAGACAUAAUACUGAUGAUCAAGAGUGUUGCAAAAUGUAUCAGCUUGAAGGGCAAUUUUGAAAAGGAGAGAGUCAGAGAUGUUUGAAGCGGGAACUACAGAACUUGAGGCCAAUUAUUGAGGUUAUUAAUCGAUGGAAAAGGACAAUUUCAGAUGCUGCCAGGAUUGCUGAGUACUUACCGCACUUUCUUUCUGCAUCUGUUCUUAGUUCUGAGGAUUCAAGGGAUGAAAUUGUUUGAGGAUAAAGGUCCUUCACUUGCAAAUCUCCAACCUCAGUAGUUCACUGCAAACAGUGACUGAUUUUAACGGUAGUCAACUAUUUUAUGUGGUAAUUUUUCUCCCAAGUCUUGACUUCACAAUUGUCCAGAUUAAUUUCUCUCAAUUUAACAACCUGCGUAUCUUCUCUUUUCUCCUUUCUUUUCCUGUUUUGAAAGAUUGAUUUGCAACUUGAGGUGCAGAUGAAACCAUAUCCAGAUCUGACAGCCACUCUCUUCAUCAUAACCAAAUUGUCAAAACGUUUUGAACAUUGAAGAAAAAAAUACCACUCAUACUGGAGAGGAACACACUUUCUCUCUGUGUGGAAGUGUCUGUGAAGAUUCAUCUAAAAGGUCAAAACACCAGAGCAGUCAUAUUAGAGACAGUGUGGAAAUGUGGGAAGUCUUUUUUUAAAAGAAUCAUCACAGCUGAAAGCUCACCAACUCAGUCUGUUAAAAAAUUGUGUUGAGUAAUCGUGAAUUGGAAGGCAGGAAGCGAGAAUUUGUUUGUAAAAUAACAAUCAGGGACAAGAUUGUAUGGUACCUUUAAGGGAUAGUGCUUUUCUAAG